UGUGCCAGCCGCCGCGGUAAUACGUAGGGCGCAAGCGUUAUCCGGAUUUAUUGGGCGUAAAGGGCUCGUAGGCGGCUCGUCGCGUCCGGUGUGAAAGUCCAUCGCUUAACGGUGGAUCUGCGCCGGGUACGGGCGGGCUGGAGUGCGGUAGGGGAGACUGGAAUUCCCGGUGUAACGGUGGAAUGUGUAGAUAUCGGGAAGAACACCGAUGGCGAAGGCAGGUCUCUGGGCCGUCACUGACGCUGAGGAGCGAAAGCGUGGGGAGUGAACAGGAUUAGA
rnacentral:rRNA from 1 species